GGCUCCUGUAUCUUCUGCCUGAUGGGAGAGGAGAGAAGAGAGAAUGACCCAGUCCGUGGUUCAAACUCGGAGGGUGAGGUGGAGCUUUGUGCUUGGCUUCAUGAGGGUUGACAUCAUCCAACAGCAGUACAGCACAAAAAAGGGAAUAACGAGGUAGUGUUCAUGGGUUCAUGGACCGUUCAGAAAUUUGACGGCGGAGGGGAAGAAGCUGUUCCUGAAUCAUUGAGUGUGGGCCUUCAGGCUCCUGUACCUCCUCCCCGAUGGUAGUAACGAGAAGAGGGCAUGUCCCAGAUGGUGAGGGUCCUUAGUGAUGGAUGCCACCUUCUUGAGUCACCGCCUCUUGAAGAUGUCCUCGACGAAUUUUAAAUAAAGUGUGCUAACUAACAUCCAAUAAUCCGGAAGAUCCACUAGUCCGACACCCACCAACUUCUGUGUGCCGAAUUAACGGAGUUUAUGUUACUGCUUUUAUUUAUUUCUUCCAAGGUGUGUGGGUGUUAACAGCGAAGGCAAGUGUUUGCCUUGUCUACAAUCUCUAGGGUCACAUUCUGGCCACACCAGUGGAUAUCAGUGAAUUACAUGGGCUUUUACCACAAUCCAGUAGUUUCCUGGUCACUGAGGUUGGAUUUACAGUCCUGGCUUUUAUUGAAUUAACUUCUUAAAUUCCGCCACUGACACAAUUUGAACUCGCCUUCAAUCAGUCUGCAGGAAUUUAGCUUUGGUCUACUGAGUUGUGAUUGGAUGCAAUAUUCCACUUAUCAUCUGCCCCAGCCAUUAGGACGUUGUCCUCUGCCCCACACUGAGUGUCCCAUCAGCGUUCUCCUGGUGGCUUGCAACUGGACGUGAAAUGUGAGUGAGCUGUCACAGACUCACUGAGAUCCUCUUCAACUGCCUUCCCUGUUGGUCCAUAGGUAGAGUCAUGGGGUAGGAGAGAGGCACAGAAACACUGCCUCUGGCCCACCCCGACCAUUAAACACCCAGUUAGUCAUAGAGUACUACAGCACAGAAACAGGCCCUUCGCCCAUCUGGUCAAUGCCAACCUGAUCUCUGCCUUGUCCCAUCUACCUCCACCCAGACCAUAUCCCUCCAAACCCCUCCCAUCCAUGUACCUAUCCAAACUUCUCUUAAAUGUUACAAUUGGACCCGCAUCCACCACUUCCGCUGGCAGCUCGUUCCACACUCGCGACCGCCCUCUGAGUGAAGUAGUUCCCCCUCAGAUUCCACUUAAAUAUUUCACCUUUCACCCUAAACCUACGUCCCCUAAUUCUAGUCUCACCCAAGCCGGAAGGGAAAAAGCCUGCAUGCAUUCACCCUAUCUACACCCUUCACAUUUUGUAUACCUCUAUAAAAUCUCCUCUCAUUCUCCUGCGCUCCAGGGAUAAACUCCUAACCUAUUCAACCUUUCCCUGGUCCUCAGGUCCUCAAGUCCCGGCAACAUCCUUGUAAAUUUUCUCUGCACUCUUUCAAGCUUAUUGAUAUCUUUCCUGUAGGUAGGUGACCAGAACUGCACACAAUAUUCUAAAUUCAGCCUCACCAACGUCUUAUACAACUUCAACAUAACAUCCCAACUCCUGUACUCAAUGCCCUGAUUUAUGAAGGCCAAAGUGCCAAAUGCUCUCUUUACGACCCUAUCUACCUGUGACGCCACUUUCAAGGAACAAUGGAUCUGUAUUCCCAGGUCCCUCUGUUCUACCGCACACCUCACUGCCCUACCAUUCACUGUGUAAGUCUUACCCUGGUUUGUGCUCCCAAAGUGCAUCACCUCACACUUGUCUGCAUUA